rnacentral:rRNA from 1 species
AAUAUUGCGCAAUGGGCGGAAGCCUGACGCAGCGACGCCGCGUGGGGGAUGACGGCCUUCGGGUUGUAAACCUCUUUCAGCAGGGACGAAGCGGAAGUGACGGUACCUGCAGAAGAAGCACCGGCCAACUACGUGCCAGCAGCCGCGGUAAUACGUAGGGUGCAAGCGUUGUCCGGAAUUACUGGGCGUAAAGAGUUGCGUAGGUGGCAGUGUAAGUCUGUAGUGAAAGCGUGUGGCUCAACCACAUACACAUUAUGGAAACUGCACAGCUAGAGGAUGAGAGAGGUUAUUGGAAUUCCCAGUGUAGGAGUGAAAUCCGUAGAUAUUGGGAGGAACACCGAUGGCGUAGGCAGAUAACUGGCUCAUUCCUGACACUAAGGCACGAAAGCGUGGGGAGCAAAC